CCUACGGUGGCUGCAGUGGGGAAUAUUGGACAAUGGGCGAAAGCCUGAUCCAGCCAUGCCGCGUGUGUGAAGAAGGCCUUCGGGUUGUAAAGCACUUUCAGUGGGGAAGAAAGCCUUGGGGCUAAUACCCUCGAGGAAGGACAUCACCCACAGAAGAAGCACCGGCUAACUCCGUGCCAGCAGCCGCGGUAAUACGGAGGGUGCGAGCGUUAAUCGGAAUUACUGGGCGUAAAGCGCGCGUAGGCGGUCUGAUAAGCCGGUUGUGAAAGCCCCGGGCUCAACCUGGGAACGGCAUCCGGAACUGUCAGGCUAGAGUGCAGGAGAGGAAGGUAGAAUUCCCGGUGUAGCGGUGAAAUGCGUAGAGAUCGGGAGGAAUACCAGUGGCGAAGGCGGCCUUCUGGACUGACACUGACGCUGAGGUGCGAAAGCGUGGGUAGCAAACAGGAUUAGAUACCCUGGUAGUC
rnacentral:rRNA from 1 species